AACGAACGCUGGCGGCAGGCUUAACACAUGCAAGUCGAACGCACCGCAAGGUGAGUGGCAGACGGGUGAGUAACACGUGGGAACGUACCCUUUUGUUCGGAAUAACCCUGGGAAACUAGGGCUAAUACCGGAUACGCCCUUUGGGGGAAAGGUUUAUUGCAGAAGGAUCGGCCCGCGUCCGAUUAGCUAGUUGGUGUGGUAAUGGCGCACCAAGGCGACGAUCGGUAGCUGGUCUGAGAGGAUGGCCAGCCACAUUGGGACUGAGACACGGCCCAAACUCCUACGGGAGGCAGCAGUGGGGAAUAUUGGACAAUGGGCGCAAGCCUGAUCCAGCCAUGCCGCGUGAGUGAUGAAGGCCUUAGGGUUGUAAAGCUCUUUUACCCGGGAAGAUAGUGACGGUACCGGGAGAAUAAGCCCCGGCUAACUUCGUGCCAGCCGCCGCGGUAAGAC
rnacentral:rRNA from 1 species